rnacentral:rRNA from 1 species
UACAGAGGUCUCAAGCGUUGUUCGGAUUCAUUGGGCGUAAAGGGCGCGUAGGCUGCGGGGCAAGUCGGGUGUGAAUCUCGGAGCUUAACUCCGAAACUGCAUUCGAUACUGCCGUGCUUGAGGACUGGAGAGGAGACUGGAAUUACGGUGUAGCGGUGAAAUGCGUAGAUAUCGUAAGGAAGACCAGUGCGAAGCGGGUCUCUGGACAGUCCUGACGCUGAGGCACGAAGGUCAGGGAGCAAACGG